UACAGAGGUCCCGAGCGUUGUUCGGAUUCAUUGGGCGUAAAGGGUGCGUAGGCGGCGGGGCAAGUCUGAUGUGAAAUCCCGGGGCUCAACCCCGGAACUGCAUUGGAUACUGCCUUGCUUGAGUACUGGAGAGGGAACUGGAAUUUACGGUGUAGCAGUGAAAUGCGUAGAGAUCGAUAAGGAAGGCCAGUGGCGAAGGCGAGUUCCUGGACAGUUACUGACGCUGAGGCACGAAGGCCAGGGGAGCAAACGGG
rnacentral:rRNA from 1 species